rnacentral:rRNA from 1 species
GUGGGGUAAUGGCCUACCAAGGCGACGACGGGUAGCCGGCCUGAGAGGGUGGACGGCCACACUGGGACUGAGACACGGCCCAGACUCCUACGGGAGGCAGCAGUGGGGAAUAUUGCACAAUGGGCGCAAGCCUGAUGCAGCGACGCCGCGUGAGGGAUGAAGGCCUUCGGGUUGUAAACCUCUUUCAGUAGGGAAGAAGCGAAAGUGACGGUACCUGCAGAAGAAGCGCCGGCUAACUACGUGCCAGCAGCCGCGGUAAGACGUAGGGGGCGAGCGUUGUCCGGAAUUAUUGGGCGUAAAGGGCUCCUAGGCGGUUCAGUAAGUCGACUGUGAAAAUCCAAGGCUCAACCUUGGGACGCCAGUCGAUACUGCUGUGACUCGAGUUCGGUAGAGGAGUGUGGAAUUCCUGGUGUAGCGGUGAAAUGCGCAGAUAUCAGGAGGAACACCAACGGCGAAGGCAGCACUCUGGGCCGAUACUGACGCUGAGGAGCGAAAGCAUGGGGAGCGAACAGGAUUAGAUACCCUGGUAGUCCAUGCCGUAAACGUUGGGCACUAGGUGUGGGGGACAUUCCACGUUUUCCGCGCCGUAGCUAACGCAUUAAGUG